GUGAGCCUGAACCAACUGUGGCCGCCUGCCUGUCCAGUCUUUGUCGUCCGUCUUUCAGUGUGCAUCGCCGGGUGGCCUUUGCUGGAGCCUAGGACCCACUAGGAAUAGAACACUCAUACCUGUAGCCCCGAGCUCACCAUGUGAGAAGCUGAACUGUUCAGAAGCUACCAUGCUGUGAGGAAACCAAGCCGCAUGGAAGGGCCACUGCAGGCACCUCGGUCUGCAGUCCUGGCCCACAAGUCAUCCCAGCCCAGGCACCAGACACCUGAGGGAAGAUGCCUCCAGCUGUUGACUCACCACUAGCUUUGGGCCUUCCCAUUUAAGGUCCCAGACAUCUCAAAGCAGAGAAGAGCCAUCCUUGCUGUGUCCUGCCCAGAUUCCUGACCCACAGAACCCAUACGCAUAAUAAAAUGAUUGCUUUAAGCUACUUAGCUUUGGGGUAAUUUGUUACACAGCAAAAAUAACUGGAACUUUGUUGUACUCCAGACCUUCACCAUAGCUUUUUUUUUCUUCUUACUGAAAUGCAUCCUUUUAUCACGGUUGGGUUUUUUUUAAGUGAUGUUCUAUGGGUGCCAAAGUCUCUCAGUCUUUGUAUAACUGAGUAUGUCCCUACUUUGCCUUCACUCUUGAAUAAUGGUUGACAGUUCUUUGUUCUCAAUACUUAAAAGAUAUUAUUCCAUUGUCUUCUGUACCUCUUAAGACUCAUGAUAGUCUAAUUAUUGUUCUUUUUUCUCAUUGCUUUAAAAAACCAUUAAUGAGGAUUAAAUAAAUUUGUUUGGUCUUUUUGUA